UUUUUCUUCGGACAGAUUACAAGGUGCUGCAUGGUUGUCGUCAGCUCGUGCCGUGAGGUGUCAGGUUAAGUCCUAUAACGAGCGCAACCCCUGUGGUUAGUUGCCAGCGAGUCAAGUCGGGAACUCUAGCCAGACUGCCGGUGCAAACCGUGAGGAAGGUGGGGAUGACGUCAAAUCAUCACGGCCCUUACGUCCUGGGCCACACACGUGCUACAAUGGUAGGUACAGAGAGCAGCCACGUCGCAAGGCGGAGCGAAUCUAUAAAACCUAUCACAGUUCGGAUCGGGGUCUGCAACUCGACCCCGUGAAGCUGGAAUCGCUAGUAAUCGCAUAUCAGCCAUGAUGCGGUGAAUACGUUCCCGGGCCUUGUACACACCGCCCGUCAAGCCAUGGAAGCUGGGGGUACCUGAAGUCCGUCACCGCAAGGAGCGGCCUAGGGUAAGACCGGUAACUGGGGCUAAGUCGUAACAAGGUAGCCGUACCGGAAGGUGCGGCUGGAACACCUCCUUUCUAGAGCUUUGCUGCAUAGCAGUUAAAGACACGACUAUAAGGAAAGACGAAGUUUUAGUUUUAGUUGUCAAUUCAAGAUAUUUUUCGGUUGAUGAUCCUGAAUUCAUUUCAGGAUCAUUCAAUUGAUAAAUAGGACAGUCUCAUAGCUCAGCUGGUUAGAGCGCUACACUGAUAAUGUAGAGGUCGGCAGUUCGAGUCUGCCUGAGACUACUACGCACCAAAAGGUGCGAAGUGUAUCCGCGAAGGCGUAUAUCUUUAAGGUUAAAGUCACAGACUUAGUUUUAAAGAAAGUUCAUAAACAAGUAUUGAAGGAAAUUUUAGAGGUUGAGUAGCCGUUAUAAGUACUGUUAACUAAUAACUGUUAACUAACUACUAGAAUAAUGGGGGAUUAGCUCAGCUGGCUAGAGCGCCUGCCUUGCACGCAGGAGGUCAUCGGUUCGACUCCGAUAUUCUCCACUUGUGCUGAACUUGUUUCAGCACCUCUUCGAUAAUUCACCUGCCAAGGUAGGAGAGUUUGAAGAAAGAGAUCCUGAGACAAACUCAGGAUAAACGUUCAUUGACAUAUUGGGAAAUAAUAAGAAUACGAGAGAAACAAAUUUUAUAUAGUUAGUAAUAACUAAGUUAUAUUAUAGAUAGAACUCAUUAAUAAUACAAAAGGCCAAGGUAGCAAUACCAAGGUCCUUAUAAGAGCAAAAAGUACAAUAAGCUAAAUAAGGGCGUAUGGGGAAUGCCUAGGCUCUCAGAGGCGAUGAAGGACGUGAUAAGCUGCGAAAAGCUGCGGGGAUUGGCACAUACAAAUUGAUCCGCAGAUAUCCGAAUGGGGCAACCCGGUAUACUGAAGGUAUAUCAUCCGCAAGGAAGCAAACCCGGAGAACUGAAACAUCUAAGUACCCGGAGGAAGAGAAAACAAUAGUGAUUCCGAUAGUAGCGGCGAGCGAACUCGGAAUAGCCCAAACCGGUUCUGUUACGGCAGGAUCGGGGUUGUAGGACCACGACAUUUUAUGCGUAAUGAAUUAGAACACUUUGGAAAGAGUGGCCAUAGACGGUGAUAGCCCGGUAUAGGUAAAGAGCGUUAUAGAUAGUGGUAUCCUGAGUAGUGCGGGGCACGUGAAACCCUGUAUGAAUCUGGCGGGACCAUCCGCUAAGGCUAAAUACUCCUGAGAGACCGAUAGUGAACCAGUACCGUGAGGGAAAGGUGAAAAGAACCCUGAACAAGGGAGUGAAAUAGACCCUGAAACCAUACGCUUACAAGCGGUCGGAGCCCUUUUGGGUGACGGCGUGCCUUUUGCAUAAUGAGCCUACGAGUUACUUUAUCUAGCAGGUUAGAUGUUCAGCAUCGGAUCCGUAGCGAAAGCGAGUCUUAAUAGGGCGUAUAGUUAGGUUGAGUAGACGCGAAACCGUGUGAUCUACCCUUGGGCAGGUUGAAGCUGUGGUAACACAUAGUGGAGGACCGAACCCGUUGACGUUGAAAAGUCUUGGGAUGACCUGAGGGUAGGGGUGAAAGGCCAAUCAAACUCGGAAAUAGCUCGUACUCCCCGAAAUGCAUUUAGGUGCAGCGUUGAUUUAUAGUUUUAUAGAGGUAGAGCUACUGAUUGGAUGCGGGGGCUUCACCGCCUACCAAUUCCUGACAAACUCCGAAUGCUAUAAAAUGUUAAUCAGCAGUGAGGGCAUGGGUGCUAAGGUCCAUGUCCGAGAGGGAAAGAACCCAGACCAUCAGCUAAGGUCCCCAAAUGUAUGUUAAGUUGAAAAAACGCGGUUGGACUGCCCAGACAGCUAGGAUGUUGGCUUGGAAGCAGCCAUUCAUUUAAAGAGUGCGUAACAGCUCACUAGUCGAGCGGUCCGGCAUGGAUAAUAAUCGGGCAUAAACAUACUACCGAAGCUAUGGCAUCGUAAGAUGGGUAGGGGAGCAUUGUAACAAAGUUGAAGGUUUACUGUGAGGUAAGCUGGAUUGGUUACAAAAGAAAAUGUAGGCAUAAGUAACGAUAAUGCG
rnacentral:rRNA from 1 species